GGGGGCCGGGCGCUGUCCCCGGCGGGGCGGCCUCGCCCACCGCAGUCACGGGCUCCCACCCGGUCGUCUGGGACCGAAAAUGGCCGGUGGGAGAACUACCUCAACCUGGUUCAUCCCGUCUUCCUGAAGUAUUUUCACCAAGAGGGACGUGGAUAUUAUAAGGAACUUUAUUUUCUCUGACAAAGGUGUAAAAUCCACCAAGCAAACGCGGUCAUGGUACGCGGUCCCGGUGUAAAACUGCUGAUCUCACAGCUUGCACCCCACACUUUCCUCAGGUAUUCCAGGAAUUCAGUCCAGCUGCCUUAAAAUGCAGCAGAGGUUGACUGAAUCGUUUGCAGGUCUUUCACAGAGGCAUAAAAAAGGCAGUGCUGCUCAGAGGAUGACACACAGAGCCUUCCCUUGGCCCUUCCCAGCCGUACAUGACACGGCCCAGAGGUUUGAUAAGCCUUAGCAGUAACUUUCAUUAUGACACGUUGAGGGCCAAGGCUUGGCAUUUUGUUAUCUUUGUCAAAAGAUAUCUCAUACCCCACAUGGCACACGCUCUUAUCUUUCAGGAUCAGAUGCUCUCUGUCUGCUUCUUGAAUCAUGUUUACGAAUGUUGCCCUUCCACAAGUGGAGAACAGCAGUGCCCUUAUGACGUUGCUACUUCAGGCCUGCCGGUUAGCAAGGAUUUAGGAUUUUGGGGGUUCUAUUAGAGAACAGAGCAAGACUUCGGUUCCUCGGCCUCCUGCCCCAUCUUUUAUGGAUCUCAGGAACUGCCUGUGAGGCAGGUUUCAGUGGGGCUGGCGUACAACCCUGCUCACAGAACAGUACAUUGUACAUCCUGUGCUGAAGAGUUAAUUUCCCUGCUAGCUGCUCUGCCACACCUAAGGCGAACUUUCUCCCCAAGCAGCAGGAGUCAGAGGCUGCACCCAGAGAGCACCCUGGAAAACAGAGGAGCAGCAGUAUACAUCACCAGAGGCUGCAGGAGAAUACUGGAAGCAGAGGAUGGGAUCUGCCGCCUGUACCAUGCAGCAAUCAGAGCUAUCCCUACUUGUUCUUUUGAGAUAAAACACACUUUUUAAUGCUUAGAUUUUAAUUACCUUUCUACUCAAUGUACAGGCUUGUAGAGGAGCCCACCCUGUUUUGUAUUUUCUUUAAAGGAUCCAUAAGUUCAAUACGAUGAGACCUAGCUUAGUAAAGAUAAGGAAAGGUUUCCCCAGGGAUGCUGUGGCAUGAAAGAGGUUUCUGUCAUGAUAUGGUCAUUCUAACAAAGCAGAGCAAUACAUGAGGGUUUCUCACCUUUAACUUGUUGGCAUUAUACAGCACAGACCUUCCACUAAUUGUUACAAAUUCAGAAUAAGAAAAAAUAAAUGAAAAACAGAAGUUGAAA